CCCCCCCCCCCCCCCCCCGGCCCCCGCGCCGGUCAUCGCUCGUGCCCCGCUGCGUUAGCCCCGACGCCUGCGGACUGCGUGAACUAUGGAACCUCCUCCUCCGUGCCAGCUAGAAGUACGGGAGGGAUAAACACUAUCAACAAGGAUAGCUCUUCUCCCACUGAUUCCAAGGACUUGCGCGCUAAGUUGGUAUUGCUGGGAGACUCAGGUGUUGGGAAAAGCUGCAUUGUUCUUCGCUUUGUUCGCGGUCAGUUUGAUCCUACUUCCAAGGUAAUUUACUGUUUUGAGCCAAUUGGGCCAUGGAUGAAAAAUGUUAUUCGUCACCUUAGAAUCUUUGAUGCAUUACUUUUGCCUGUAGAAUUUCCUUUCACCAACUUCUCAAGUGAUUAUAAGUAACUGUUGGUGCAUCUUUUUUAUCACAAACAUUGGCAUUGGAAGACUCAACAAUAGUGAAGUUUGAAAUCUGGGAUACUGCUGGGCAAGAGAGGUGCAUAUUUGGUGCUGUAGACAAGUACUUCUUGUUUUGGGUAACAAAUAUGUUGUUGACUUCACAGAACAGUUUUAGUAACGUAAUCAGAAGAUUUCCGAUAGUAUUCUAUGCAAAUUUGUCCCAUCUUCUUUGCAAGGACAUGCAUGUAUUUUCCUGAAUCAAAGAAGUCACGAGAAUUGAGAGCCUGUUGAUUUCAGGUAUGCUGCAUUGGCACCACUUUACACAGAGGAGCUACUGCAGCAAUUGUUGUCUACGACAUAACUAGUCCAGAAUCAUUUAGCAAAGCACAAUACUGGGUAGAGUUAAACUGAACUUUAGAAACAUGGUAGUCCUGGUAUUGUAAUGGUUUUGGUUGGGAAUAAGGCUGGUCUACAUGAAAAUCGAAGCGUAUCUACGCAGGAUGCACAAGAGUACACAGAGAAGAACAAUAUGUUUUUCAUUGAGACGUCAGCAAAGACAGCUGAUAAUAUAAACCAAUUGUUUGAGGACAGGAAAUUGCAUAGAGGUUGCCCAGGCCAACGGCGCCCUGACAUUGUGGCGUGUAUUGAAGAGCUACACAAAUACAAAUUUGUACCAUGUAAUGCGUGUAGCAUUUCAGGUCAGCCUACACGUGUGGGCGUUGUUUGGAUGACUGGCGCUCAUGUAAAGCUUACUCCGAUGUGCUAAUCGUGGAGAACCUUUGCUCUUGCAUAUCCUUGGAUGGUGGGUACAAUGAAAUUCUAGGAUGGUGCAAUUUUGAAUCUAGUGGCAUGCUAGGAGAUGAAUUUCGUCUGAACUUUAUGUACUUACCGGGCAAUUCGUAUCCGUGUUUGGUUCAUAAUUGCUGUUAUUUUUCGAAA